rnacentral:lncRNA from 1 species
GGCCUCUCCUCACUGUAGAGGGAGCUGCUACAGUCCCCACCAUGUCCAUGGCCCUCCGCUGUGCUUGCUCCAGUUUGUCCAGGUCUUUCCUGUAUUGGGGGGCCAAAACUAGGUGCCUUAYCCUAGAUAUGGUCUAGUGGGUGCUGAGUGCAGGUGGAGGAUCACUUCCCUGGCUCUCCUAGCUGUGCUGCUGCUCACGCAGGCCCUCCACAGUCUCUUCCUCCAUUUUUCAAAUUCCAUAUUGAAGUGCCAGCAUGAAGAAACAUCUCCCCCCACCACCCGCUUUGAUUUGGUGCUUCCUCAUGCUGCUGAAACCCUUUCUUUCAGUGCUCCCCAGCACGGGAGAGCAAGGCACUGAAACAGACACCAACAUUGUACAGGGUUUCACCCGCACCUAGGUAUCGAUUUCCCCCAGAUUUUCCUUGAAAAGCCCGAAAUUGUUCAAAAAUGUUGACUCUCCUCCUUUCUUCUUCCUCUUCCUUUUUUUUUUUUUUUUCCAAAUGUUUGGCCACACCUUUGCUAAUAUCUGCCAGAGCCAGCCGCACUCUGGCCGCCCCGCGGGCAGCAGCGACCCCCACCUGGGGCGGCGGCGGCUGCAAGGCCUCGGGACGGCCGGGCUGCCUCGGGCGGGCCGCGCUCUGCCCGCCCCUCCCUUCCCGGCGGCGGCAAGAGGGGCCAGCCUGGCCCCCAGCCAGCGCUGCGGCGGCGAGGGCGGGCCAGGAGCCGGAAGAGGAGCCGCCGCUACCCGCCCGACUUCCCUAGCAGCCAGGCAGGCAGGCGAGCGCCAUGCUGCAGUUCUUGGUUGGCUUUACUCUUGGCAAUGUGGUUGGAAUGUAUCUAGCUCAGAAUUACGAUAUUCCUAACCUUGCAAAGAAGCUUGAAGACUUUAAGAAGGAUGUGGAAGCUAAGAAGAAACCUCCCAAUGACAAGUCCUAAGAGAGUGUURCCCAGGUCACCUCUGUGCAAGCAUCAUGGAUGCAGUUUACUCUUCAGGCAACAAAG